rnacentral:rRNA from 1 species
UACGGGAGGCAGCAGUGGGGAAUAUUGGGCAAUGGGGGAAACCCUGACCCAGCAACGCCGCGUGAAGGAAGAAGGCUUUCGGGUUGUAAACUUCUUUUAUCAGGGACGAAGCAAGUGACGGUACCUGAUGAAUAAGCCACGGCUAACUACGUGCCAGCAGCCGCGGUAAU